rnacentral:sRNA from 1 species
UUUAAAGAAUAUCCUCCAGCUCACAUCGAAUGGUUGGAUGAUACCUCCUGUAAUGUAGUUUGGCUGGAUGAAAUGACAGCCACACGAGCACUUAUCAAUAUGAGCUCCCUGCCUGCACAGGAUAAGAUCAGAAGCAGGGAUGCCAGUGAGGACAAGUCAGCUGAGAAAAGGAAAAAAGACAAGCAGGAAGACAGUUCAGAUGAUGAUGAAGCUGAAGAAGGAGAGGUUGAAGAUGAGAACUCAAGUGAUGUAGAGUUGGAUACGUUGUCUCAGGUAGAAGAGGAGUCUUUGUUAAGAAACGAUCUUCGUCCAGCUAACAAACUUGCUAAAGGAAAUAGGUUAUUCAUGAGAUUUGCUACAAAAGGUAAAUGUAAUAUUUGGUAUUGUUUUAUAUUUUCAAUCAAAAUGAUUUAUUAUGGAGUGACAUCCUUCUUUUUUGAAUAGAAGUUAGAUCAAGUAAUCUCAAAGUUCCCUUCAAACUAUAAUAUUCUGCGCUUAUGAAAUAAUUGCUUGCCACCUGAGUUGGAGUUUCUAACUUUAAAAGUGAAUAUUAACUCUUUGUAUGUUUCUGUGACUUCUGGCUAAAGUUAUUUUCUGUUGAAACUGGUUUGCCUCAUAUAUUUUCAGCCAGUUACCAUCUGAAUUAUGAAAACUUUCAAAUGAAACUUUAUUUAUUACAGCAACGUCCUCCUGAACAUUGCCAGUGUACCAUUCGGUUCUAAUUCCCUUCUCAUAAGAUUGUUUACACACGGUGACUUUUGGUGGGCAUUUAAAAAUGUGUGUGUAUGUGUAUAUAUGUAUGUGUAUGUAUGUGUAUAUAUGUAUAUGUAUGUAUGUAUCGCUUGUAUGUGUGUAUGCAUGUGUAUGUAUGUAUAUGUAUGUAUGUGUAUAUAAGUAUGUGUAUGUAUGUAUGUGUGUAUGUGUGUAUGUGUGUGUAUGUAUGUAUGUGUAUGUAUGUAUGUAUGCAUGUGUAUGUAUGUAUGUGUAUAUAAGUAUGUGUAUGUAUGUAUAUGUGUGUGUGUGUGUAUCUAUGUAUGUAUGUGUAUGUAUGUAUACACAUAUACACAUAUUAGUUUUUUUAAUCAUUUGAGAGUUAGUUGAAGAUAAAAACCCAUCACCCCUAAAUGUAUUCCAAAGAAUAAGAACAUUGUUUUAUACAUAGCACACUUAACAAAAUCAAGAAAUUUAACAUUAAUACAGUACUGUUACCUAAUCCGUAGUCGAUAUUCAAAUUUUGUCAGUUGUUCCAAUAAUGUCCUUUAUAUAUUCCCCGCCCAGCCCCAGGUCUAGGAUCCAUCCAGGACUGAGUGUGUAAGUAUGUAAUGUUUCCUUAGUCCCCCUUAAGCUGAAACUACUUCUAUCCUCCCAUGUUUUCCAAGAAUAUAGGUUUACUAUUUUAUACAAUGUCCCUCAGUUUGGGUUUGUCUGAUGAUUCCUCCUGAUCGAAUUUGGGUUGUGCAUUUGAGACAGGCGUGCCACAGAAGCGAUGUCAUAUCAUUUCCAGAGCAUCAUGUCAGGAGGCCCUGGAUACUUACUCGUCCCAGUCCUAGGGACGUUCACUUUAUUCACUUGGUUAAGAUGACAAAAAGGAACUUGGAGCAGCCAGAAGAAGUCAGUAUUACAUGAAAUAUGGGAAUCCAAAUUAUGGAGGCAUGAAAGGAAUUCUUAGCAAUUCAUGGAAGCGAAGAUAUCAUUCCCGUCGUAUUCAGCGGGACGUGAUCAAGAAGAGAGCCCUGAUUGGGGAUGACGUUGGCUUGACGUCGUAUAAACAUCGACAUUCUGGGCUAGUGAAUGUUCCCGAGGAACCCAUUGAAGAGGAGGAAGAGGAGGAGGAGGAGGAGGAAGAGGAAGAGGAAGAAGAAGCCCAGGACAUGGAUGCAGAUGACAGAGUGGUGGUAGAGUACCACGAGGAGCUCCCGGCUCUCAAGCAGCCCCGGGAGCGGAGCGCGUCUAGACGGUCCAGUGCCAGCAGCUCAGACUCAGAUGAAAUGGACUAUGAUCUAGAACUGAAAAUGAUUUCCACGCCUUCACCAAAGAAAAGCAUGAAAAUGACUAUGUAUGCUGACGAAGUGGAAUCUCAGUUGAAAAAUAUUAGGAACUCCAUGAGGGCAGAUAGUGUAUCUUCAAGCAAUAUCAAAAACCGAAUUGGUAACAAAUUACCACCUGAGAAAUUUGCAGAUGUCCGACAUCUAUUAGAUGAGAAACGUCAGCACUCCCGUCCACGGCCACCAGUCAGCAGUACUAAAUCAGAUAUACGCCAGCGGUUAGGAAAAAGACCACAUUCUCCGGAAAAGGCUUUUAGUAGUAACCCCGUCGUUCGGAGAGAGCCCUCUUCUGAUGUGCAUAGUAGGCUAGGUGUUCCCAGGCAGGAUAGUAAAGGCCUCUAUGCCGAUACUCGGGAGAAGAAAUCAGGUAAUUUAUGGACUCGCCUAGGAUCUGCACCCAAGACCAAAGAAAAGAAUACGAAGAAAGUGGAUCACAGGGCGCCUGGCGCUGAGGAAGACGACUCUGAGCUGCAAAGGGCGUGGGGGGCUCUGAUUAAGGAGAAAGAGCAGUCUCGCCAAAAGAAGAGCCGGUUAGAUAACUUACCAUCUCUCCAGAUUGAAGUUAGUCGGGAAAGCAGCUCUGGUUCAGAGGCAGAGUCCUGAUGCCCCUGGGGCCUAUGGCAGCUGCCCUAAAGCCUGACAUUCUUGCACAGGGUGGGGCGCGCAGUAGGAACCUCCCCCGCAGGAGCUGGCGCCCUCUCGCUCCUGCUCACACAGUCACCCUCCGCUCUUGCUACUUCGGCAAGACAUCUUAAGAAUGUGACACAUUUUCAAGGGCAUCUCUAUCUUUCGCUGCAGAGUUGUAGUUCUGGGCCCUCGAUUCCUUUCCCACCACCCCACAGGCUUUACCCUUUGAGAAAAAGGCAGCCCUCCAGAUUUUGUAGACAUUUUUCUUAAUAUUUUUAACAUUGUGUCUUUUAAAAGAAAUGUUUUACACAGUUCAUCCAAAGAGCAGAGAACUGAACUUCUCACUAUUGCCUUGGCCCUGACAGCUGUUACCAGCACCCUUUUCCCAAGAAAAGUCAAUUCCCAGGUGCUUAUUGGACAUCCUUCGAGGGGGAAGAGGAGGGAAGCGGCCAGCUCACCCUUCCGGGACCCUAGUGUGGGGGCGAAUCUCACGGACCUGACCUCAGAGGUGCACCAGUGCCGCCCAGGUAGAUAAGAGCUGCAGCAUUGACUGUGCUUCCGUUCUUCCCUCGGGGAUUGCUCAUGGCAUGGGCCUCUUACUUGCUGUCAGCUUGAUGUGAAGAUCAAGUUCAGUGCUGUGGGAUUUUUAGGAACAAAAAACUGUGACGUCUGGAUUUGGGGUUGAUUUUUGUGCUAGGGGUGGGAUUAUGGGUUAAUGUUGAAGAAUUUUUAAGUCUGUAUUAUGUUUAAAACAUGAAUGAUUUGAAAGUUUAAAUUUUUAAUUUUUAUAUGUGGAAAUUCUUCCUGUUGGCUAAAGGGGAAGCUCAAGUGGUGUCGUCUUUUGUGCUGUUAAAUAUAUAUUCUAUUCUUUGGAAGAAGGCAGAGAGAGGAGUCUUAUUAUUUUUAAAUGCUCCUAGUUGUAUAGUCUGUCUGUUGUACAUAGAGUUCAGCUUGUGUUUUGGCCCCAGUAGGAAAAAAAUCCAUCCAUCUGAUAUGGGGUCCUGUUGUUUAUUAUCACUCUAGAAGUUAUACAUUGAUAUUUAUUCUUUCUGUCCCCACGUUGUGGCACCUGAAGACAUCUUCAAAAUUGGCAGAAAAGAUAAUAGUUAUAAAAAUUUUAGUUCAUUUAUUUUUAAACUCCUUUCAGAUUAUUUUACCAUUAGGAGGAGGUAGAUUGUUUCGUCUUCCUGUCUGAUUUUUGUUUUGUAGUAUUUAAUUUUGUAUUCCUCUGCAGUUUUAAGAAACAGUGUUUUUCUUCGGUUUGCUGGAACAUGGGCGUUAGAGAUGGUAAUAAACCGUGGUCCUUUUUGCGAUGUCACGACUCUUCACCGGCCUGGGCUGUUGCGCACACAGUGCAGCCUGGAUCCUGUCGAUCUUGUGGCUGAGCUAAUGGUCACAUUGAUAGUUGAUUACACUGUGGCACGAAUUAAUGCAGAACACUGUUAUUAAUAAAGGAAGUAAAGGGCUGCAAGAUUUGAGAGCUGCAAC